rnacentral:rRNA from 1 species
AAAUGAAUUGACGGGGACCCGCACAAGCGGUGGAGCAUGUGGUUUAAUUCGAAGAUACGCGAAGAACCUUACCCGGACUUGAUAUCUAACAAAUCAUUCAGAGAUGAAAGAGUGUCUGCUUGCAGAAAUGUUAAGACAGGUGCUGCACGGCUGUCGUCAGCUCGUGUCGUGAGAUGUUGGGUUAAGUCCCGCAACGAGCGCAACCCACGUGUUUAGUUGCUAACAGUUAGGCUGAGCACUCUAAACAGACUGCCUACGCAAGUAGGAGGAAGGUGUGGACGACGUCAAGUCAUCAUGGCCCUUAUGUCCGGGGCGACACACGUGCUACAAUGGCAUAUACAGUAAGACGCAAUAUCGCAAGAUGGAGCAAAUCUAUAAAAUAUGUCCCAGUUCGGAUUGGAGUCUGCAACUCGACUCCAUGAAGCCGGAAUCGCUAGUAAUCGUAGAUCAGCCAUGCUACGGUGAAUACGUUCCCGGGUCUUGUACACACCGCCCGU